rnacentral:rRNA from 1 species
GGAUUAGAUACCCUGGUAGUCCACGCCGUAAACGAUGAUAACUAGCUGCUUGGGCUCAUGGAGCUUGGGUGGCGCAGCUAACGCAUUAAGUUAUCCGCCUGGGGAGUACGGUCGCAAGAUUAAAACUCAAAGGAAUUGACGGGGGCCUGCACAAGCGGUGGAGCAUGUGGUUUAAUUCGAAGCAACGCGCAGAACCUUACCAGCCUUUGACAUCCUAGGACGGUUUCUGGAGACAGAUUCCUUCCCUUCGGGGACCUAGUGACAGGUGCUGCAUGGCUGUCGUCAGCUCGUGCCG